rnacentral:rRNA from 1 species
UACGUAGGGUGCAAGCGUUAAUCGGAAUUACUGGGCGUAAAGCGUGCGCAGGCGGCUAUGCAAGACAGAUGUGAAAUCCCCGGGCUUAACCUGGGAACUGCAUCCGAAACUAUAAGUCUUGAAUGCUUCAGAGGUUGGUAGAAUUCCUGGUGUAGGAGUGAAAUCCGUAGAUAUCAGGAGGAAUACCGGAGGCGAAGGCGGCCAACUGGGAGUGCAUUGACACUGAGGUGCGAAAGCGUGGGGAGCAAACAGG